rnacentral:rRNA from 1 species
AUACGAAGGGUGCAAGCGUUAAUCGGAAUUACUGGGCGUAAAGCGCGCGUAGGUGGUUUUGUAAGUUGGAGGUGAAAGCCCCGGGCUCAACCUGGGAAUUGCCUCCAAAACUGCAUGACUAGAGUACGGUAGAGGGUAGUGGAAUUUCCUGUGUAGCGGUGAAAUGCGUAGAUAUAGGAAGGAACACCAGUGGCGAAUGCGACUCCCUGGACGGAUACUGACUCUGAGGUGCGAAAGCGUGGGAAGCAAACAGGAUUAGAUACCCUGGUAGUCCACGUCGUAAACGAUGUCAACUAGCCGUUGGGAUCCUUGAGAUCUUAGUGGCGCAGCUAACGCAUUAAGUUGACCGCCUGGGGAGUACGGCCGCAAGGUUAAAACUCAAAUGAAUUGGCGGGG